CGGCGGACGGGUGAGUAACGCGUGGGUAACCUGCCUUACACAGGGGGAUAACAGUUAGAAAUGACUGCUAAUACCGCAUAAGACCCCGGUACCGCAUGGUACAGAGGUAAAAACUGAGGUGGUGUAAGAUGGACCCGCGUCUGAUUAGGUAGUUGGUGAGGUAACGGCUCACCAAGCCGACGAUCAGUAGCCGGCCUGAGAGGGUGGACGGCCACAUUGGGACUGAGACACGGCCCAGACUCCUACGGAAGGCAGCAG
rnacentral:rRNA from 1 species